UUUUUUUUUUUCUUUUUUUUUUUUUUUUUUUUUUUUUUUAUCAUCUUCUUUGUUCCUUUUUUUUAUAAUCGUCUAGAUAAGUUUGUAUGUACCUUUCUUAAUUCUACAAAAUACCUCACACCUUCCACCAACAAUAGAUCAUAUCUGGUAACUCUGUCCACCAAGGUUAGGACAAGUAAAAAGAAUAAAUCACUCAGUGUUUUUAUC
rnacentral:lncRNA from 1 species